AUUGAACGCUGGCGGCAUGCCUUACACAUGCAAGUCGAACGGCAGCACGGGUGCUUGCACCUGGUGGCGAGUGGCGAACGGGUGAGUAAUACAUCGGAACAUUUCCUGUAGUGGGGGAUAGCCCGGCGAAAGCCGGAUUAAUACCGCAUACGAUCUACGGAUGAAAGCGGGGGACCUUCGGGCCUCGCGCUAUAGGGGUGGCCGAUGGCUGAUUAGCUAGUUGGGGGGGUAAAGGCCUACCAAGGCGACUAUCAGUAGCUGGUCUGAGAGGACGACCAGCCACCCUGGGACUGAGACACGGCCCAGACUACUACGGGAGGCAGCAGUGGGGAAUUUUGGACAAUGGGCGAAAGCCUGAUCCAGCAAUGCCGCGUGUGUGAAGAAGGCCUUCGGGUUGUAAAGCACUUUUGUCCGGAAAGAAAUCCUUGGCCCUAAUACGGUCGGGGGAUGACGGUACCGGAAGAAUAAGCACCGGCUAACUACGUG
rnacentral:rRNA from 1 species